rnacentral:piRNA from 1 species
AUCACAGCUUAGAUACUGCAAGGUU